CAGCCGCCGCGGUAAUACGUAGGGUGCGAGCGUUAAUCGGAAUUACUGGGCGUAAAGCGUGCGCAGGCGGUUGUGUAAGACAGGUGUGAAAUCCCCGGGCUUAACCUGGGAACUGCGCUUGUGACUGCACAGCUAGAGUAUGGCAGAGGGGGGUGGAAUUCCACGCGUAGCAGUGAAAUGCGUAGAGAUGUGGAGGAACACCGAUGGCGAAGGCAGCCCCCUGGGCCAAUACUGACGCUCAUGCACGAAAGCGUGGGGAGCGAACAGGAUUAGAUACCCCUGUAGUCCCUGUCUCUUAUAC
rnacentral:rRNA from 1 species